rnacentral:rRNA from 1 species
UACGGAGGGUGCAAGCGUUGCUCGGAAUUAUUGGGCGUAAAGCGCACGUAGGCGGUCUAGCAAGUCGGGUGUGAAAGCCCUCAGCUUAACUGAGGAAGUGCAUUCGAAACUACUAGGCUUGAGUACUGAAGAGGACGACGGAAUUCCCGGUGUAGAGGUGAAAUGCGUAGAUAUCGGGAGGAACACCAGUGGCGAAGGCGGUCGUCUGGGAAGAUACUGACGCUGAGGUGCGAAAGCGUGGGGAGCAAACAGG